rnacentral:rRNA from 1 species
UACGUAGGGUGCGAGCGUUGUCCGGAAUUAUUGGGCGUAAAGAGCUUGUAGGCGGUUUGUCGCGUCUGCUGUGAAAUUUCGGGGCUCAACCCCGAACUUGCAGUGGGUACGGGCAGACUAGAGUGUGGUAGGGGAGACUGGAAUUCCUGGUGUAGCGGUGGAAAUGCGCAGAUAUCAGGAGGAACACCGAUGGCGAAGGCAGGUCUCUGGGCCACUACUGACGCUGAGAAGCGAAAGCAUGGGGAGCGAACAGG